CCUACGGGGGGCAGCAGUGGGGAAUAUUGGACAAUGGGGGGAACCCUGAUCCAGCCAUGCCGCGUGUGUGAAGAAGGCCCUCGGGUUGUAAAGCACUUUCAAUGAGGAAGAACGCCUGGUGGUUAAUACCCAUCAGGAAAGACAUCACUCACAGAAGAAGCACCGGCUAACUCCGUGCCAGCAGCCGCGGUAAUACGGAGGGUGCGAGCGUUAAUCGGAAUUACUGGGCGUAAAGCGCGCGUAGGUGGCUUGAUAAGCCGGUUGUGAAAGCCCCGGGCUCAACCUGGGAACGGCAUCCGGAACUGUCAAGCUAGAGUGCAGGAGAGGAAGGUAGAAUUCCCGGUGUAGCGGUGAAAUGCGUAGAGAUCGGGAGGAAUACCAGUGGCGAAGGCGGCCUUCUGGACUGACACUGACACUGAGGUGCGAAAGCGUGGGUAGCAAACAGGAUUAGAUACCCCGGUAGUC
rnacentral:rRNA from 1 species